GGCGACGAGUGGCGAACGGGUGAGUAAAGUAUCGGAACGUGCCCAAUAGUGGGGGAUAGCCCGGCGAAAGCCGGAUUAAUACCGCAUGAGACCUGAGGGUGAAAGCGGGGGACUCGCAAGAGCCUCGCGCUAUUGGAGCGGCCGAUAUCAGAUUAGGUAGUUGGUGGGGUAAAGGCCUACCAAGCCGACGAUCUGUAGCUGGUCUGAGAGGACGACCAGCCACACUGGGACUGAGACACGGCCCAGGCUCCUACGGGAGGCAGCAGUGGGGAAUUUUGGACAAUGGGCGAAAGCCUGAUCCAGCCAUGCCGCGUGCGGGAAGAAGGCCUUCGGGUUGUAAACCGCUUUUGUCAGGGAAGAAAUCCUUUGAGUUAAUACCUCGGGGGGAUGAUGGUACCUGAAGAAUAAGCACCGGCUAACUACGUGCCAGCAGCCGCGGUAAUACGUAGGGUGCGAGCGUUAAUCGGAAUUACUGGGCGUAAAGCGUGCGCAGGCGGUUAUGCAAGACAGAUGUGAAAUCCCCGGGCUCAACCUGGGAACUGCAUUUGUGACUGCAUAGCUAGAGUACGGUAGAGGGGGAUGGAAUUCCGCGUGUAGCAGUGAAAUGCGUAGAUAUGCGGAGGAACACCGAUGGCGAAGGCAAUCCCCUGGACCUGUACUGACGCUCAUGCACGAAAGCGUGGGGAGCAAACAGGAUUAGAUACCCUGGUAGUCCACGCCCUAAACGAUGUCAACUGGUUGUUGGACGGCUUGCUGUUCAGUAACGAAGCUAACGCGUGAAGUUGACCGCCUGGGGAGUACGGCCGCAAGGUUGGAACUCAAAGGAAUUGACGGGGACCCGCACAAGCGGUGGAUGAUGUGGUUUAAUUCGAUGCAACGCGAAAAACCUUACCUACCCUUGACAUGUCUGGAAUCCUGAAGAGAUUUGGGAGUGCUCGAAAGAGAACCAGAACACAGGUGCUGCAUGGCCGUCGUCAGCUCGUGUCGUGAGAUGUUGGGUUAAGUCCCGCAACGAGCGCAACCCUUGUCAUUAGUUGCUACGAAAGGGCACUCUAAUGAGACUGCCGGUGACAAACCGGAGGAAGGUGGGGAUGACGUCAGGUCCUCAUGGCCCUUAUGGGUAGGGCUACACACGUCAUACAAUGGCCGGUACAGAGGGCUGCCAACCCGCGAGGGGGAGCCAAUCCCAGAAAACCGGUCGUAGUCCGGAUCGCAGUCUGCAACUCGACUGCGUGAAGUCGGAAUCGCUAGUAAUCGCGGAUCAGCUUGCCGCGGUGAAUACGUUCCCGGGUCUUGUACACACCGCCCGUCACACCAUGGGAGCGGGUUCUGCCAGAAGUAGUUAGCCUAACCGCAAGGAGGGCGAUUACCACGGCAGGGUUCGUGACUGGGGUGAAGUCGAAACAAGGUA
rnacentral:rRNA from 1 species